AAGGUUGUUAUUGGUCAUCCGUACCUGUUUUACCUGUUUUCCCUAUGAGAUAAACAAGGUAAUUCCCCUUGAAGAUUGACCCUUAUAUAUUUAGCACUUUCGACCAUCGAUCACCAUUGGCUCUGCACUAGCCGAAUCUGUCGACAAGCUACAAAUCCAGAUAAAGUGUGACUGAGUCCAUUGAAAGAGAUUUGAACUGAAAAUUACGACCGCUUCCGAAAAAGCUUCAUUGAGGAAGUAUAUAUUAUCAGAAAAAGUUUUCUAUCAAAAUGGGUGACAGCGAAAAGCAAGGAAAAAAGAAUCUUACGACAAAAGAUGAUGUUGCAAGGAUCCAGAAGGCCCAAAAGGAUCCGGGACAUACCGAGAAAGGCAGCUAUGUGAGCAGAAUGCAAUCUGCAGCUGAUAAGAGGGAGAACGCGGGGUCCGACGACAAGAAAUGACCUUUGCAACCAAGAAAGAAAAAGUCUAGAUUUUAAUUGUUCUACUAAACACUGCUGUCUAAAGUCUGUUAUACCUGUUAUAACUUAGUUAUGAUAAUUUGAUUAGAGUGCUUUUAGUCUCACUGUUGAAUAGUUAGAUAAUUUUUUAUAAAAUAAUUGGGAUACUA